rnacentral:rRNA from 1 species
GUGUUUAUUUUACCUUGUUGCUUCGGCGGGCCCGCCUUAACUGGCCGCCGGGGGGCUUACGCCCCCGGGCCCGCGCCCGCCGAAGACACCCUCGAACUCUGUCUGAAGAUUGUAGUCUGAGUGAAAAUAUAAAUUAUUUAAAACUUUCAACAACGGAUCUCUUGGUUCCGGCAUCGAUGAAGAACGCAGCGAAAUGCGAUACGUAAUGUGAAUUGCAAAUUCAGUGAAUCAUCGAGUCUUUGAACGCACAUUGCGCCCCCUGGUAUUCCGGGGGGCAUGCCUGUCCGAGCGUCAUUUCUGCCCUCAAGCACGGCUUGUGUGUUGGGCCCCGUCCUCCGAUCCCGGGGGACGGGCCCGAAAGGCAGCGGCGGCACCGCGUCCGGUCCUCGAGCGUAUGGGGCUUUGUCACCCGCUCUGUAGGCCCGGCCGGCGCUUGCCGAUCAACCCAAAUUUUUAUCCAGGUUGACCUCGGAUCAGGUAGGGAUACCCGCUGAACUUAAGCAUAUCAAUAAGACGGUAGAAC